GCUGGGCAUGGUGGUGCAUGCCUGUAAUCCCAGCUACUUGGGAGGCUGAGGCAGGAGAAUCACUUGAAUCCAGGUGGAGGAGGUUACAGUGAGCCUAGAUUCCACCACUGAACUCUGGCCUGGGCAACACAGUGAUACCCUGUCUCAA
ensembl:misc_RNA Metazoa_SRP Metazoan signal recognition particle RNA